rnacentral:rRNA from 1 species
GACGAACGCUGGCGGCGUGCCUAACACAUGCAAGUCGAGCGAACAGACCAGGCGCUGUCCCCUCUUGGCGUAGCGGUGGGUGGGUCAUUGACACUUGGACAACCUACCUGUAAGACUGGGGUAACAUUGGGAAACCUAAGCUAAUACCCGAUAAUAUAUUUAACCUCAUGGGUCAAGCGUUAGAGACGGUUUUUGUGCCACUGACAUAUGGACCGGCGGCGGAUUAGCUAGUUGGUAAGGUAGCGGCUUAGCAAGGCAACGAUGAGUAGCAGACCUGAGAGGGUGAUCGGCCAGACUGGCACUGAGACACGGUCCAGACUCCUAAGGGAGGCAGCGGUAGGGACUCUUCCGCAAUGGGCGAAAGCGUGACAGAGCAACGCCGCGUAAGUGAUGAAGGUCUUCGGAUCCUAAAGCUCUGAUAUUAGGGAAGAACUAAAGUGUGAGUAACUAUGCACGUCUUGACGGUACCUAGUCAAAAAGCCACGGCUAACUACGUG